GUUGCCCCUUCACUUUGCCUAAUGUCUAUCAGGUUGGCCCUGAUAAAGCUAUUGCUGCAAAGCCUCUAGAUAUGCAGUAGAGAGGCUUUAGAGACAUCUUCUAGCUCAAUUGAAUGUGGGUAAACAAUCUGCUGAGUUUCAUUGUGGUUUUAAAGUAUGGUCCUCCAGACAUAAUUAGCAUACAACUUUCAGCAUUCUUUGCCAUUGGCUAUGUUGACUAUGGCUGUUGAGAGUUACUGCCCAGCAUUAUGGAGUACUGCAAUUUGCACAUCUCUACUGUAGAGUAUACUUGAAUGCAUGUAUACUCUACAGACACUGGCACAUCCUGUGAUUUCAUAUUUUGAAGAACAAUUGGCAGAGGUAAGGAAGCAGUCUAUCUUUAUUGGUGUUCUGAGAACUUCUGAGGAGCUUCUGAGAAACCUUGCAUUUUUGUUCUUGAGCACAGUGUGAAAAGCACUGCUAUAGAUGAUCCAGAUUUCUUGCUCAUGUAGAUUACUUCCUUAUUUUCCAACUGGAUUAUAAAAUAAGUUUUUCCCUUUCCCUUCCAGAAAUAUGCAAAUGCUAAAUACAAUGGAGUAACCUAUUCCCAGGAUUCAAAACCUUCAAAAAGUGGUUCAUCGGAGACCAUCCGUAUUACUGUCCAGGGUGGACAAGGAAGCCCCGUUUGUGAUAAGGGUUCAUCAUACUAUAACAUCCAGGCUUGUAACAAGUUGGGCCAGUCUUCAAGCUCACAAAGUACCACCUCCUUUGGCACACAGGGUUCAAAGUCUCAAGGUGGUUCAUCAGAAACCAUCCGUAUUACCGUCCAGGGCCAGCCUUCAGGCUCACAGAGUGGCACCUUCUCUGGCACGCAGGGUCAGUCUUCAGGCUCACAGAGUGGCACCUUCUCUGGCACGCAGAGUGGAUCUUAUUCAAGCAGUAGCGGUCCAUGUGGGCAGGGGAGGACCUAUGACAGCAAUCCCUGCCAUCAGGGGCAAUCUUCUUCUUCCUCCUCCUCCUCUUCUUAUUCUUCACAAAGCUCUUACAACCAGGCUAAUUCACAGUCUCAAGGCAACAGCAACCCCUGUAAACCGAGCCAAGGAUACUCUUCACAGAGCACGUACAACAACCAGGUAGAGGCACUGUCUUUGUACUAUGUCUUCUCAGUUAGGUGAUGUACAGAUCUUACAAUCAUAUCUUUCAUAUGGGAGACA
rnacentral:lncRNA from 1 species